CAAAGGAAGGAACACCGAGCUUCCAAGACAAGAUGCAUUUGCUUUAACAGCCUUGGGUCUGGUGGGGAGUCAGAUAGGAUGGAGCCAGAGUCCGGGUGUAAAAGACAAACAUAUAUCAUAAACUAUUAGUCAGUCAAAUGGAACAUCAGAUGUUUAGACUUGAUGUACGUCAGGGGCACAAGUGAUUAUUUGUUUGUGUAAGAAUGUUCCGUUCAGUAUUGCACCUAACCAGCACACGACGAGUGUGUUGGAUAAGAAACAGCACAAGGCAAAAUUUUUCCAUUACAGUGGUUUAAAUAAUAUGUUUACAAAUCUUUUCUCUUUAAUCUGUAAUUUAUGAUCACAUUAUCUCAAAAUAUGUUUCUGUUGUUUAAAGUAAUCCAUCUUUAUCAAUAUGCAUUAAUUACAUUUUAACUCCCAAUAAUUAUCAGGUUCCAUGGGUUUUAUGAUUCUGAUGAUACACAAAGUAAAACUGAAGCAGCUUUACUGAAUGAAAGUGUUUUUUCAUUGGACAGAGUCUUGUUGACAGUGCAGGAGGUUUUUGUACGACCACUUCAUGACUUUGUAUCACUGUGGUGGACGUUUGGUGGGGGAACCAAACUCAUCGAGUUCUCUGGUCCCGUGGUCAGACCCUCCGUCUCUCUGCUUCCUCCGUCCUCUGAGCAGCUCUCUGGGGGCUCGGCCACGCUGGCCUGUCUGCUGAGCGGCUACUCUCCUCAGGGAGCCGUGGUGAGCUGGGAGGUGGACGGUAGCGAGGUGACAGAGGGCGUCCAGAGCAGCUCAGAGGAGGAGAAGAACGGACGCUUCAGCAGCAGCAGCACCCUGACCCUGAGCCAGGAGCUGUGGAACAAGAGAACCCUGUACACCUGCAAGGUCCUCCAUCACGACCACAGUCAGGUCCAGGUCUUCCACAAGAGCCAGUGUCAGGACUAGAGGAGCUGUGUGUGGGAGAAGAGGAACAGACCUGCUGCUCUGAGCAACAUGAGUUUAAUGGAGUGAAAGGAAAGCUUCAUGUGAGAAACGUGUGGAGCUCCAUGAAUGUGUGUCUGCUUAAUGAGUGACCUGAUGAUUCAUGACUUUGACAAUAAAGCUUCUACUGAAAUGAAA